CCUACGGGUGGCUGCAGUGGGGAAUAUUGGACAAUGGGGGGAACCCUGAUCCAGCCAUACCGCGUGUGUGAAGAAGGCCCUCGGGUUGUAAAGCACUUUCAGUGAGGAAGAACGCCUGGUGGUUAAUACCCAUCAGGAAAGACAUCACUCACAGAAGAAGCACCGGCUAACUCCGUGCCAGCAGCCGCGGUAAUACGGAGGGUGCGAGCGUUAAUCGGAAUUACCGGGCGUAAAGCGCGCGUAGGUGGCUUGAUAAGCCGGUUGUGAAAGCCCCGGGCUCAACCUGGGAACGGCAUCCGGAACUGUCAAGCUAGAGUGCAGGAGAGGAAGGUAGAAUUCCCGGUGUAGCGGUGAAAUGCGUAGAGAUCGGGAGGAAUACCAGUGGCGAAGGCGGCCUUCUGGACUGACACUGACACUGAGGUGCGAAAGCGUGGGUAGCAAACAGGAUUAGAUACCCCUGUAGUC
rnacentral:rRNA from 1 species